UUACUGGGCGUAAAGCGCGCGUAGGCGGUUUGUUAAGUCAGAUGUGAAAUCCCCGGGCUCAACCUGGGAAUGGCAUUUGAGACUGGCAGGCUAGAGUAUGGUAGAGGUGAGUGGAAUUUCAGGUGUAGCGGUGAAAUGCGUAGAGAUCUGAAGGAACAUCAGUGGCGAAGGCGACUCACUGGGCCAUUACUGACGCUGAGGUGCGAAAGCGUGGGUAGCAAACAGGAUUAGAUACCCUGGUAGUCCACGCCCUAAACGAUGUCAACUAGGUGUAUGGAGAAAAUAUUCUUUGUGUAUCGAAGCUAACGCGAUAAGUUGACCGCCUGGGGAGUACGGUCGCAAGACUAAAACUCAAAUGAAUUGACGGGGGCCCGCACAAGCGGUGGAGCAUGUGGUUUAAUUCGAUGCAACGCGAAGAACCUUACCUGGCCUUGACAUG
rnacentral:rRNA from 1 species